UGAAUGUCUGAUGAUCUGCUGAACAAAUACUGGAGCAGGUCUGGCAAUAAGGUUGCCCCUUUUAUAAUUUGCAGAAGAUUUGGACUUCAGCCUUGUGGAUCUGUAUUUUAGCUGCAUGCCAACAUGACUUUUUAAACAAAAAUGUUACCUUCCAAGAGCUUCAUGCAAUGACUUUGUUGUGAGCAAGACUGGUAGUUCUGUCGUGCCGCUCGAGACUUCCCGCAGGAACUCAACACCUUUUGAAGUGCGUAGAAAUUUGUAGUCUGGUCUGUGGUGAAAAUCCCGCAGAGUGCAGAAGUAAGAAUGGCGAUUAAGCUGCCGUUGAAGAUAAA